CUGUAGGUAAAGUCAUUUUUAGCAAGAGAAUGAUGACAAAUUUAUUUUCCAUUAAACAACUGAACUGUGUAAUUGUUACAGAUUAUAAUUUUUUUUCAACAGGACGGGGCAUGGCUGGAAAUGAAGCAGAUUCUCUGAACAACCGAACCUAAUGAAUCCCGCGAAGGCUGAGCUGUAAGUAGGAACGUCUGGAACCGUGGCAGAUUGCGUGUCAGCGAACGGACGGUGUCGGGGUAUUAAUUAUGCGAUCGUGGGCGGAAUGUGGGGCAGAGAAGUGACCGGGCCUCUGCGGCAACACGACGUCCCUCGGGAGCUCUUUGCACGGCCCCCUGCGGGCUGCGGCCGAGACGGGUGAGUGAACGUCCCGGGGCCCAGAGUGCUGCCGCUGGACCAGGCCUGGCCCCCAAGCCAGCGCCCUCCUGCGGGGGCGCCUUCUCCCGGGGCUAAGUGGGGAGAAAGUGCAGGCAGGCGUGGGCCACUGCGCCCGAGGGCCGCUGCGACCGACCGCUGCGUCCCUGGCUCAGCGAGCCCCCACGUGCGAGCGCCCGGCCCCAGGCCCCCAGCAGCCCUGCGGGAAGACGCGGUGGUGAGUGACACAGGCCCCCGCCCUGGAGAGUCCGCGGUCCGGCGGGGAGGCAGGUGUGCGAGGAACAGUCACCGCGGGACGGCUCUGCGAGUGCCUGGCCGCGGCGUGGGGAGGCACCCAGUCCUUGGCUCCAAGUGGAGGAAGGUUGCGCCAACCCCUUUUUGGCCGAUGCCCCUGUUUGGUUCUUUUUCGCUCCUGACCGAGUCCCGCGACUUUUUGCCCCACGCUCACCAUUCUCCCUCCGGGGUGCAGGACACUAAAGACACAGGAACGAGUGUGAAAUGUGACGUCGCGUCUCUCCCAAGAGACCCUGCGGUCCUCAAAGGAGGGUCACACGCCUCCCAGUAAAAAGGAGCCGCGGCCAGGAGGAAGCCUGCGGUUAAAAAGAAAAAUGCCAUGCGGUCUGAUGAGUCAGCCGAAGAGGAGCAGAGGCCCGGAGGCCGGGUGGGCCGGGAGGGGCGGGCUAGGCACAGGGCACUUGCACAGGCCUGCCCUCCGCCCCCAUCACAGCCAGGGAGGGGGCAGCGGUCGGGGCCGGGUGACCGGAGUGUCCUCUCCAGCUCUCACUGCACACCUGCUGUGGGGCGUGCACCCCGAGGCCAUAAAAGGCCUAGAUGCCAUUGCAACGUUGGGGGCUUUCGUCCCGUUGGGGGCUGUGAGGGCUGCAGGGACCCUCUCCGACCGACACAUCUUCUCUUGCUUGUGUUGCUAAGAUAUCGAAGAACAAGGAAGGAGAAAGGGGAAAACAAGACACAAGGUGGGCAAGGGUCGUGGGUCUGGGCACGCGCUGGGCACGACGGGAGCCGGGGACAUCGGGAGUCAGAGUGCGCUCCGGAGAGCGGGGGCUUUGCUCUUGCCUCCUGCUCCUCACUUGUCUGUGGCUCCCGCCGGACACCAGGCCCCGUCUCGCUCCUUCCCUGCUUGCUGCCAGCCGCGGGCCGAGUCCUGCCGGAACACAGUGGAAGUCAAGGACCGGCGUCCUGGGGACCCGCUCACGCCGGUGACCUUGCUGGUUCGUUACCAUUCUUUCCGACGGCAGAGGUACCCGCACGUGACCGUGACCUCUGAAGCAGGGCUACAGAAUAGGCAGACCAGAUGUCUUUAGACCCAUUUUACAGAUUGGGAAAGUGAGAUUGAAAGACACAUAGUCUCGCGUGUUCUUCCCACUGAGAAAACGACACAGCCAGCACUCGGCUGAUGCUUGACUUGAAUUCCGUGGUUUCCCAUGAUUCCCCACUUAAAAUAAUUCUGCAAAGCAUCAUGUGCUACUUGGCAUUUCGUCGUAUUAAACGCAGAUCUGGCUGCUAUCGUGGGGUAGACGCAUGUCAACUAGAGAUCUAUCAGAAGCUCCCAUUAUCUAGAAAUAAAGAGACAUUUCCAUCAAGCUGUAUUUGAGGCUGCCCUCUACUUGUAGGAGAAAGACACACAUCAUGUGAUCACGGACGUAUCUUGAGUCCCACAUCAGUCCGGUCCAGUGUCAGCCUCUGGGGUUAGGCGAACCCCGUUCUGCACUUCAGUGGCGGCCCCGGAGCAGGGACGGUCAAAACACAGGAGCAAAUCCACGCAGGACGUGCUGUCAGUAGAUGCGCAGCUCCGUUGGCCCACAGCUAUCGGUGUGCCGGGGAGAGACCGUUUUUAAGCAAAAAUGUGCAAAGUGAUGAUUCCACCGUGCCUUUAGUUCCUGUAAAAUGGGCCCGUCUGGGCUCAUUCAGACUUCAAGAUGAGCAAAGGUUGUCUGGAAAGUGUUUCCUUUCCCACAAUGUCAGAAAAUAAGACAGAGCUUGGGAUAACGUGGGCCCACAUGUAAACCCUUGAGCUUUGGUUAUUUAAAAAUGACGACCCUUAAAUACA